CGGAAGGAAACUUUAACGGUGAAACGUCUUUCGCUUACGUCACAGACAGGAGGUUAUAAUAGGCAGUGCCACGGCAACCGCUCCUUAGUCACGUCGCAGUAUCGAAGAAGGUGUGCAGCGCUCCGGACCAAGAAGAGGAUCUUCAACGGCUGAUCGCUUUUACGUCGUUAUUUCAUGUUUUACUUUUAUUUAUCAGCUGUUUUACACGCUCAGCUGUUUUACACGCUCCAUCGCCGGUUGUAGUCUCCGCAGGUAUUUCAAGCUAAAUUCCAGCUGCUCAAUAUAGAUAACACUGACCACAGCCAUAGGUUUUAUAUGUAUCCGAGGGGAUAAAAACUAGAUAAAGUAUGGAGGGGAUAAAAAUUAUAUUUAUACUGUAUGGAGGGGAUAAGUUAUAUUUAUACUGUAUGGAGGGACUAUUUAUAUUUAUACUGUAUGGAGGGACUAUUUAUAUUUAUACUGUAUGGAGGGACUAUUUAUAUUUAUACUGUAUGGCGGGGAUAAAAGGUCUACAUAUAAAUUACACGGAGGGGGUAAUAAUUCUACCCAUGUAAUGUAUUUAUUGUUAAAUCCGAUAACAGCAGCUAUACCGCCCGGUUAAUGUUUAUUAAUAUUUAUUAUGAUUGCUUUGUGGGCGGAUAGUUGUAUCGUGUUAUAAUCACGGUGUAUAAUUGGGGAUAUAAUCUGAGUAAUAUUUAAAGUCCCCGAUUAUUAUUAUUAUUAAUAGUGAGAUUACCUCACGGUCUGUGAUCCGCACGGUGUUAAUAACAUUUAAUAAAUCUCUAAACCCGUGUUAAUAAAGAUGGGGAUUAAUCCGCGUUACAGUUUAUAAUUUCCUAUAUAAACUAGAUUAGGUUUUUAUUACAGCCGGGAAUAGUGAUUAUUUAUUAUUCCGACACACAAUGUACAAGGAAUUCCCCGGUUUCUGACGACGCCCUGUUUUUACUGAUAAAGAUGGCCGCCGAGCUUCUCUGUGGGGGCGGGGAUUACUCAUUGUCGUGUAGUCAUUUUCUUUGUGACGCGCAUGCUCUGUAUUAGACCAUUGAUUGGUUCACACGGAUUAGGGGCGGGGCUAAAUGCUAAAGUAGUGGGAUGGUUUAUGUGCAGCCCUCCCACUCACUGAUCCAGACAAGGCAUUGUCUAGAUUUAUUAAACAGAAUAGUAAUUUGUCAUUAUGGUAGAAUGCUGGUGUUAUUUUGAAGCAGCUGGAAUUUAGUGAGAAUUUGUGGAGCUUUAAAAUGGUUGAUAAAUGUACAUGUGCUAAUAUUUUCUAUCAGAUUCAUUGAGCGUGGACCAUCUAAGCAUGUCAUGCAAUGGGAGUUGCCAACACAAAGACUUUGUUACAGAUAUGAACUUUCGAAAUGCUGAAAUUGAUGACCAUCACCAGCCGCCCACUUACGUUUUGAGUGUUUAUAAAAUGAGGAUUUUAUCUGAGAUCUGGUAUUUUCGUUCCGGUUUUCCAAGGGAAUGUAGCUAUUUGCUAUAACUCUAUGUGCAACUUUGUAGCAUGUCCAUAUUGUAAUGCAAGUAUUGGUUUCACUGUUCAUUAAUAAUUUAAAUUGCACAACCUGUAACUAUUUUUUGAACAUAUUGCUUACUUUUUAAUGUUCUAAUUCAUACUGCAUUUGUGUUUAGAUAACUGUAUUUAUGUAAAACUUGACCAUAAUCCUCCUUAUUUUUUAACUUCACCUCACUCCCAAGUCUGAGUUAGUUAUUUACAGUUUUUUGGUAACCAUUUAGCUAUUUUGUUUGUUUGCUUCUGUCAGCGUAUAGCUUCUCAUAAAUGAAAUCCACACCAUCCUGAAGAUUCAGCAUCCUCUGGUGGGUGGCCAUUAUGCUGUUACAACCCUUUGGUAAGCACACACUGCAUCCCAAUGGCUAGGCUGCAGACUUGGCUAUCAAGAAUUCACUGGGUCAUUAUAAGGCACCCUUUUUGGUAAGCACUCAAGUAAAAAGUUAUCCACCUGGUUUCCAAUAUUCAUCACUUGAGGGAUUUAAUUAUAUUCCUUCAAUAUGUUUACUUUAGCAGUCCAUAUCAAGUUUCCACCAAUAGCAGCUGCUUCAGCUGAGUAAUUUUUAAUUUUAGAUCUAGGCUAAUAACUUUUUUCCCCCAGUGACCGCUGAUUACUUCUCAGGCGUCAUUCUCACAAUUCCCUAUUAAUACAUAACGUUAGCAGUUUAGAAUUGUAACUAUUCUUGGUUUCCAGUUUUAAUAAAUCCCAAUAUCUUCCAACAAGACAAACUAUACUCCUAUGUAGUCUACAUCCCUUCCUAUACACGUGCUGAAAUGUGGCAAAUACUUUCACGUAUUGCCUUCAAGUAACCAUACUUUUCUGUGGUUUGUCCUGCUAGUUGUAACACAUGUGGAUGUUUUGAAUUCCUUCCUAGGUAGUUUUCUUACUACCACAGUCAGGUGUUUCUCAGUGCAUCAGAUGGUUCCUUCUGCAUAUGCUCUGGUAAAGAUGUAUUUCCAAGUAAGAUCUUUCUUUGUUGUAUUUUUGCAAUGUUUUAUGAAUGUAUAUAUUGGAAAUCUGUAAAAUUAAGUUUAAUUAAAAUGUACAGAGUUACAACUGUUUCUAUGUCUCAUUGCUGGGAGGUUAUACAAACCUUUUGGUGGUUAUCUUUCAGGUAAACGCGACAUGUCCUCACUUGUUCAUAUUGUGUUCCACCUCUAUCAAUGGACCAGAGUUCCUAAAGAUGCUAAGUACUUUAC
rnacentral:lncRNA from 1 species